GAUGAACGCUGGCGGCGUGCCUAAUACAUGCAAGUCGAGCGAACAGACGAGGAGCUUGCUCCUCUGACGUUAGCGGCGGACGGGUGAGUAACACGUGGAUAACCUACCUAUAAGACUGGGAUAACUUCGGGAAACCGGAGCUAAUACCGGAUAAUAUAUUGAACCGCAUGGUUCAAUAGUGAAAGACGGUUUUGCUGUCACUUAUAGAUGGAUCCGCGCCGCAUUAGCUAGUUGGUAAGGUAACGGCUUACCAAGGCAACGAUGCGUAGCCGACCUGAGAGGGUGAUCGGCCACACUGGAACUGAGACACGGUCCAGACUCCUAAGGGAGGCAGCAGUAGGGAAUCUUCCGCAAUGGGCGAAAGCCUGACGGAGCAAAGCCGCGUGAGUGAUGAAGGUCUUCGGAUCGUAAAACUCUGUUAUUAGGGAAGAACAAAUGUGUAAGUAACUAUGCACGUCUUGACGGUACCUAAUCAGAAAGCCACGGCUAACUACGUG
rnacentral:rRNA from 1 species